UCAUCCACAUUCAUCCCAUUUAAUUCUCUACCAAGGUCAAGAAGAAGGCUAGGGUUCCAAAGCUUCAAGCCUUUUAUUCAUCCAUUGAUUUUAGGCUUUGAUUAGAAAGGUACGUAGGGUGUCAACAAUGAGUUUCAUUCAUCCAUUGAGCCCCAAGAUUUCUUAAUUCUCCAAUUCAAAUUUCAAUCAAAUUUUUUAGGUUUUUAUUCAAUUCUUCAUGAGUUCUAAUUGUGUUCAUUCAAUUGUUUAAUUUGGAUCUUAUUAUGAUUAUUUUAACUCAACUACAUGCUUCCAAUUGAUUUCACAUUAAUUCAUGCAUUAUUCUUGAUUUUUUCCCCUAUGAACCCUAAAAGAUAUGAAUUUUUAAAGAAGCUUGAAUCUAUGAUUAAGUUUUCAUAAAAAAAUAUGCAUAUUUUAUGAAAAAGUGUUUUAUGUUCUAGGUUGCUCUAAGAUGAGCAUCAAUUAAUUGUGAAAUGUUUUCUUACAUUAAGAAAACAUGAUUAGUGAAAUGUCUUUUUACACAUAAUUUGAGGAGCUACUCUAUGACGUUUUAAGCUUGGAUUAAUAACUUAAUUGUGUUUUUUCAUGUAUAAUGAUAUAUUUAUAUAUAUGACUAUUCCAUUGGGAUUUAACUUAGCAUCGAGAGAACUUUGACGAGAAGGCUCAAAUAGGAUAGUCUCUAGUAGCAAUCUCUAGUUCCAAACUAUCUGCCCCGUGGGAUUGUCUUAAAUGAACUACCUAAUGGGUCCACAUAUAGCAUAUGAUAUGAUAAUGAGUUUUACACUGGCAAGUAGACUCUCCCUUCUUGAUGUGGGAGUUACAUCAGAUUUCAUAUUAUAGCUUGCACGAUCCAUUUGUCUGUUAAAGCUAAUAUUCCACAAAAUGAACUAGUUGUUCUUAAAGAAUUUAUGAAGCAUUUCUUAUGAUUUUAAGAUGUAUUGAUCAUGUUCAUGAUUUACGAUUCUUCUUUUAAAAGAUUUUAUUAUAUUUAGCUUGGUCAUGCAUAUCAUGUUUUUGAUUGUGUCCUCUGGUGAUCAUGUUUCAUGUUUUAUUGCAUAUCCCUCAUACUUAGUACAUUCCAUGUACUAAUGCAUAAUUGUGUCUACAUUAUUUAACUAAUGCAGGGUCGACGAUCUUCCUCCUCCCUCUUGUGGCUAGUAAGGCUGGCUAUUGGACAGGAUCGGGUCAACUGGACCGGUUUUACCAAAACCGGUACCGGUAUCAGAUUUUUCUUAUCGAAUUUUCUUACCGGUACCGUAUCUUACAAGAUUGAAUUUACCGAAAAAUCCAACAUGUUCCGCCCGGUCGUUAGUAACCGGUUAGGAACCGGGUCUUAUAUACCGGUUCAUCCGGU
rnacentral:lncRNA from 1 species